AUUGAACGCGGGCGGAAUGCUUUACACAUGCAAGUCGAACGGCAGCACGGACUUCGGUCUGGUGGCGAGUGGCGAACGGGUGAGUAAUGCAUCGGAACGUGCCCAGUCGUGGGGGAUAACGUAGUGAAAAUUACGCUAAUACCGCAUACGAUCUAUGGAUGAAAGCGGGGGAUCGCAAGACCUCGCGCGAUUGGAGCGGCCGAUAUCAGAUUAGGUAGGUGGUGGGGUAAAGGCCCACCAAGCCAACGAUCUGUAGCUGGUCUGAGAGGACGACCAGCCACACUGGAACUGAGACACGGUCCAGACUCCUACGGGAGGCAGCAGUGGGGAAUUUUGGACAAUGGGCGAAAGCCUGAUCCAGCCAUUCCGCGUGCAGGAUGAAGGCCCUCGGGUUGUAAACUGCUUUUGUACAGAACGAAAAGGUUUCUACUAAUACUAGGAGCUCAUGACGGUACUGUAAGAAUAAGCACCGGCUAACUACGUGCCAGCAGCCGCAGUAA
rnacentral:rRNA from 1 species